GACGAACGCUGGCGGCGUGCUUAACACAUGCAAGUCGAACGGAAAGGCCCUGCUUUUGUGGGGUGCUCGAGUGGCGAACGGGUGAGUAACACGUGAGUAACCUGCCCUUGACUUUGGGAUAACUCCAGGAAACUGGGGCUAAUACCGGAUAGGAGCUCCUGCUACAUGGUGGGGGUUGGAAAGUUUCGGCGGUUGGGGAUGGACUCGCGGCUUAUCAGCUUGUUGGUGGGGUAGUGGCUUACCAAGGCUUUGACGGGUAGCCGGCCUGAGAGGGUGACCGGCCACAUUGGGACUGAGAUACGGCCCAGACUCCUACGGGAGGCAGCAGUGGGGAAUAUUGCACAAUGGGCGGAAGCCUGAUGCAGCAACGCCGCGUGCGGGAUGACGGCCUUCGGGUUGUAAACCGCUUUCGCCUGUGACGAAGCGUGAGUGACGGUAAUGGGUAAAGAAGCACCGGCUAACUACGUG
rnacentral:rRNA from 1 species